UCAAAAAAUUUAUCCUUCAUCGUCGGGGGCGUCAACUUCCAUGUGUACCCGCCUGGGGUUUUCAAACAUCUUAAAUGUGCACGUGCAAGCUUUGGACAGGCCAGUGGGCUCCAACAAAACACUGUGUACAAGUAAUUUUGUCACUUAAUCAUGGUGUACGAGAAACAGUAAUUUUAACUAAUGUACUUACCCAGUGUCAGGAUGCCUCUGAAAUACCGUCCUCCCAUCAGGUGCCUUAACCUCUCUCUCUCUGAUAGCGGCAGCUGUAGGGCCCCUAGGCCUUCUAGCCCGUGAACUACUAGAAGCAUUGGGAGUCUCGGGAGUCCCAGAAAUAUGCGUCCCAGACCCAUCAGAUGUAUCUGCUGUAGCUUCUGGCGCAUUAACGCCAGAUCGCCUCCCAAAUCCCAACAAACCUCGAGAGGUAGACAUGAUGCCUGUUGCAUACAAUAAAAUUAACAAAUAUAUAGCGAAACGUAACAUUAACAGUAACUAACAAACAUAACAAAUUUGCAAUCAAAUUCAACCAAAAUGUGCAUUUACAUUUAUUCAUAAGCAUCACUACUAUCAUCAUCACUAUCGUUAGAUGUCAACGGGGAAUCAUCGUCUUCUGCUUCAUCGUCAUCUUCAAUCUCAACGACUCCACCGAGGGGAUGAAGGAGAAGUGGUUGUUCAAUGCCUACACUUGUGUGAGUAGGCAUAAUAGUAACCACUUCUUCUUGAAAUGGUUGAUCUAAUGUUGAUGUAGAUGCUGCAGUAGACACUUCAACCUUAGAUCUUGCGUUGACUUUGCAUGCUGACCACCUAAUUUUCUUUGAUUGGUUCGUACUGGGAUAGGGACAGUAAAACACUUGAACUACUUGACUCGCCAAAACAAAGGGAUCAUACUUCUUAUAUCUUCGUGUGUGGUUCAGUGAAACUAACUUGAAGUCUGUAUCAAUAGAAGUUCCCUGAGCCGACAAGUCAAACCAUUCACAGUUGAACAAGACUGUCUGCUUAAUUGGAUACCCCGGAUACUCCAGCACGCAAACCUCUUGCAGACGCCCAUAAAAGUCUAGCACAUCUCUAUCACUACCAUAGACCGAACCUUUUAUGCAAACGCCACUGUUCACAGUCGCACUCUCUCUAUCAUGAUCAGUUGUGUGAAACCUGUAGCCAUUCACGAAAUAGCCGGAGUAUGUUUCAAUCUCCCUUAAUGGUCCAGCUAGCAAGCGACCUAAUAUAAGGGUUCAACUCGUCGUUACAAGGACGACAAACCUGUUUCACACAAAUAUCAUUUAAGUUUGCUAGCCAAUUUUAGAGUAAGUAAAUGUAUAUUUAACAUAAAUUUAUCGUCUCUUACGUAAUGGUUAAACCACAGAAUAACUCGUUGUGAAACGCGACUUCAAACUCUGCAUCAGUCAUGUAAGGAUUUGCAUAUCGUUUUUCCUCCUCGAAGAUACCUUGGAUACAAAGAAUCAAAUAAAUAUGUUAACACCUAUAUAUGAUGAACACUUCUUAUACGUAAAUUGAACGAGAAUACUCACUUGUUAUAUGUCUCUGCAACCUCUGCACAAUUGCUCAAAAUAUACAUGUGUGCAGCAAGCCAUUCGCGCUCAUCCAUGUAUCUCUUCGUCCCUCGGCCAAGUGAACGCCCAAUAGGUUUGAAUAUGGCGAGACAAAGAGGAUCAUCAUUUUCAGCAACGGGCAUCUCAAUAUUGCGAGGCAAAGUUGUCCACUUUGUAGAUAUUUGAUCUUCAAAGUAAAACGAAGAGAAGGUUGACAUUUCUGCAAGUAAGUAUGCAUUGGCGAUGGACCCCUCAACCUUGGCUUUAUUUUUUAUAUGAUUUUUUAAUGUCCUCAAAUAUCUUUCAAAAGGGUACAUCCACCGAUAUUGCACUGGACCAGCCAAUCGUGCCUCAUCUGCCAAAUGAACUGGUAGGUGCUCCAUUGAAUCAAAUAAACUAAGGAGGGAAGAUACGCUCAAGUUUGCAAAGAGUAACAGCUAUCUUCUCACUCAGUAUUCUCAUGUCAUAUAUGGCCACGUUGCGGGAUGUUAAUUCUCUGAAGAAAAAACUUAAACUCUGUAAUUGUCUCCCAAACAUCUUAGGAAGAAGUCUUUAAAGGCAACAGGCAGAAGGAUUUGCAUGAACACGUGACAGUCGUGACUUUUCAUGUUGUGCAUCUUCAGGGCGUUCAUGUCAACGCAUCUACUAAUAUUUGACACGUACCCAUCGGGAAACUUAAGACUCAUGAUCCAUUGAAGUAAGAUCUUCUUCUCUUCCCUGUCAAGCGUAUAACAUGCUUUCGGAUACCUCGGUUCCAUCCACUUUCUUCAACUCUUUCCGCUUGCAGAAGGUGUUCAGUUCUUCUCUGGAUUUUCUGUAUCUUUGUCUUCCCUUCACAUUCAGGACAGUAUUAAACACGUUAUCAAACACAUUUUUCUCAAUGUGCAUGACAUCCAGAUUAUGUCAAAUCAAAAGAUGUCUCCAAUAGGGUAGAUCCCAAAAUAUGCUUUCUUUUUCCACCCUACAUCUUGAUAUUUGGCGAGUUGAGCAUUCCUGCCAUCGAAGUCUUCGGUAACCUUCACGAAGCCUAACCCCUCGAUUUGAUUCAAGAUUUGUAUUCCUGAUCUUUGUUCUGGUGGACCAACAUUGCAUGUCUUAUUCCUCAAGAAUGAAGUUUUGUUUCUCCUAAACACAUGGUUAGGAGGUAAGAACUUCCGAUGAUUAUCAAACCACGAUGUUUUCCACUCAUCGGCAAAGUGAAUGCUUCUGUAUUCUCCAUGCAAUGUGGACAUGCCAAUUUCCCAGCUGUACCCCACCCAGACAACAUAGCGUACGCUGGAAAAUCACUGAUAGUCCAUAUCAGAGCUGCUCGCAUCUGGAAAUUUUGCUUCAACGAUAUGUCGUAAGUGUUCACACCAACCUCCCACAGAGAUUUUAACUCUUGUAUCAGUGGCUGUAAGAAAACGUCCAACUUCAUCUUUGGGUUUGAUGGGCCAGGCACGAGGACUGUGAGGAACAUGAAUUGUUCUUUCAUGCACAACCACGGAGGCAAGUUAUACGGCGUGACAAUAACUGGCCAAGAAGAAUAUUGACGCCCUGAUUGUGCAAAUGGGGCAAAACCAUCUGUAGAGAGGCCCAAUCUCACAUUUCUGAUCUCCUCGGCGAAUCCAGGAAAGACUGAAUUCAAAUGUUUCCAUGCCGGAGAGUCGGCCGGGUGGCGCAUUAUCCCAUCGUCUGUGGAGGUCGCAUGCCACCGCAUAUGUUCAGCAGUUGCAGGAGAUGCAAACAAUCUCUGCAAUCGGGGCGUCAAGGGAAAAUAGUGCAUCUGUUUGGCGGGCACUUGUUUCUUUCGGCGACUUCCAGAUGCACGCAAGCUGUCCUUAUAUCGUGAUUGGUCACAGAACAUACAACUAUGUAGCUCACUAGUUUCCCCCCAAUACAACAUGCAGUUAUUAACACAGCAAUCGAUCUUCUCUACUGGCAAACCCAAACCACGUAGAUUUCUUUUCGUACUAUAGAAGUCUUCUGGACGGUUGUUACCCUCUGGUAAAGCAGCUUUCAUCAUCGAAGACAUCUGAUUGUAAGUCCUCUCUGACAUGUGGCUUUCAGUCUUUAUGCUCAUGAAUUGAGUCAUCCAGCUUAAUUGUGUGUACGUGUCACAUCCUGCAUACAAUGGAGUAUCCGCUGCAUCCAACAUGUUAUAAAUCUGUUGAGCGUCAUUAUUGGGCGGCUGCUCCAGAUUUGGAGGAUCUUGAUAAUUACUAGGUCCAGACAUGGUCAUGCACCAUCCUUUCGUAGUUAUUGUAUAAUCCAUCAUCCUCAUUCAUUAUAGCAUGUUCUCUCGGCAUAUACAACGGUGCUUCCCCGUCGAGAAACCCAAACUACUGUAAUUCAGGAUAAAUUCACGCCUACUAACAUGUUUCUGACCGUAGGUACAUCUAAAUACGCUUGAUUCUUGCACUUCUUACACGGGCACCUAAUGUUACCUUGUCCAUCUGUGUACGCCGUUUGAUUUCUCGCCCACUCAAGGAAAAACUCCAGCCCCGUUUCAAAUGCAGUACGAUCAUUGUAUCUCGCGUACAUCCACAUACGAUUAUCACUCAUUCUUGCAAAUUCUAAUUAAAAAAAAAUAAAUAAAAUAUAAUAAAUUACUUGAAAACAAUCAUUUGUUGGGAGAAGAUCCUUAAGAAAUAAUCAAUUUCUACCCCAAAGAGAGAAGAUUCUUAAGAAAUUGAUUAAAUCUAUCCCACAAUAUAUAUAAUAACAUAACAUUUCAUAAACUCAUAGCACAUAACAUUUAAUUUAACAAAAUUAUCCAACAUAUAUAAAUUAUUCUAACAAACAACUUAAACUAAUUGAUUAAAAUUAAUAUAAUUUAAAAUUAAUCAUGCUUCAUAAUUUAAAAUUAAACUAACAACAUAUAUAAAUUAAUUAAAUAAAUUAAAAUUAAUCAUGCUUAUUAAUAUAAUUUAAAAUUAAUCAUGCUUCAUAUAAUUUAUUUAUAAACAAAGCCAAUUAUAAAUUAAUUAACUAGAUCUAACAAAUAAAUCUAUUUAAUUAACAUAAAUAUAUAAAUAAAUUAAUAAAUAAAUAAGAGAAGCGUACGGUGGUGGUUUCCGGCUGGGUGUCGUGAAGAAGGCGGCGAAACGAGGUCGUCGAACU
rnacentral:lncRNA from 1 species